UGUGAUAUGGAGCCAUAUGGAGGGAACAUUGUCUGAUUUUGACUUCAACUCGAAUGUCUGUCUAGUGUGUGUGGAAAACAAAUGAAAAGGAAAUCCAGCACUUUUUGCGUACCUACACAUAUAUAUUACAUUUUUUUUUUGUAAUGUUCCGCAUAACGAGCACGGACCAUGUCGAACCACGUGCAGCAUAAUCACCUGGCAGAGCGUAGCCAGGAAAUUGUAUGGAUCUGGGGGUCGCAGCUCCAGCGGCAAUUGGAUGAAGUUGCCGAUGCUGAUGAGGCUGCUCCUGCAGUUGCUAUUCCUGCAUGCAAUUAAGCCAGGGACGAGAGCGAGGCACAACUUGCCACUCUGUGUGUCCCAAAACUGCAAGCUGACCAUGCAAAUUACGUUGCCCACACUCAUACUUGCACACGCCCUGCUACACACACGCAUUCCUGUCGCCUCGUUUGGGGGCCUGCGGGGCUUCCCCGGCAUUUGAGUGAUGCACCAAGUCGAGGAAGCGGAGAAGGAGGCCAGCUAGCUGGAACCCCACUGCCGCUGCCACUACCACUACUACUACUAACUGCCACUGCCAAAGCUAAGUUAAAUGGACCUGCGGUGCACUCGAGCAGCCAGGACGCAAACUACAGUGGAUACCGCUUUAAGCAGACUGCCUAAGGCGUUGAAAAAUAUUCAUAAGUGAAGCAAUCAGUCGAUAUUUUGUGCAAAUAAAAUUAAGCCAUAAUUCUAUGGAAUUUA